AUUCUGAGUCAGCCACAGAGUGAGGACUUAACCCUAAAUUCCCAGACUCGGAGUCCAGUGCUCUUUCCUUUAGUUCACACUGCCGUGAGGCACAACCGUGGCAGGGAGGGGCAUCUAAGAUCCGAGGCCCAAACACAGUGAAUGAGAAAUGCCAACAACUGCAUUUUGCUGCAAGUCUUAAAAAAAAAAAAAGAAAGAGAAAAAGAAAAAAAAUUUAAAAAUUAACGCCCCGUCUGUUUCUAAGUUACUUUUACCAGUACCAAUACAAGCAGAACCACAAUUAAGGAGAAUUUUGUUCAGCUCUGGCUGCUCUACUGUAAAAAGCAUACAGAAAAACUAGAUUUCAUUCAUAGGCAAGAAACUUAACCAGGCUGUGUGAGCCGGGGCUGCAGAGCGAGAGAAGCUCUCGGCAGGGAGAAGGCUGCUGGUUAUCAGGCAGAAGACGGAAGAGGCCUUCCGUGUCAGAGACCCCGAGGGCCAGACCGGAGGUAGGACCACAGGAUACAAGAGAGACAGACAGAGACAGACAGACAGGCAGAGCCGCAGUGCACACGGUGCGUGUGUCGGAGAGGCCGCCGGGAGACUCACCGCAGCAAUGCUACGUGAAUGCAGAGGGCUGGAGGUGGUGUGACUACUCACUUGCUCGGCUAACAGCUGCCGGUUUUGGAUGGAAUUAUUCCGCAACAACAAGAAAGCCUCGGUUAAACGCC